GUGUCAGCAGCCGCGGUAAUACGGAGGGUGCAAGCGUUAAUCGGAAUUACUGGGCGUAAAGCGCAUGCAGGCGGUCUGUUAAGUCAGAUGUGAAAGCCCCGGGCUUAACCUGGGAGUGGCAUUUGAGACUGGCAGGCUAGAGUCUUGUAGAGGGGGGUAGAAUUCCAGGUGUAGCGGUGAAAUGCGUAGAGAUCUGGAGGAAUAUCGGUGGCGAAGGCGGCCCCCUGGACAAAGACUGACGCUCAGAUGCGAAAGCGUGGGUAGCAAACAGGAUUAGAUACCCUGGUAGUCCACGCCGUAAACGAUGUCUACUUGAAGGUUGGGAUCUUGAAUUCUGGCCUUCGGAGCUAACGCGUUAAGUAGACCGCCUGGGGAGUACGGUCGCAAGAUUAAA
rnacentral:rRNA from 1 species